GAUAUGCGAGACUCAAGCCAUCAGACACGUAGCGAUGGCUUGUAAAGCAAAACACCGCUGGAUUCCAGCAGCAGAACAUUUAAGAUAGUCAGUGUGCGCGUGCACGCGAACGCGCGCUGCUUGCCAAAAAACUCACAGCGCUCGCUGAGAAAGAGUUUGUCUGAAACUAGUGUUUUUUUUUGUUUUCUUCUGAAGAUUUGUGUUUCAUCCGACACAACUUGAGGCUCGCGGUAUGAGGGAGAGGGCGCUCGUGUCUCGGGUAGCGUCUAGCUGCGGGGUGCUAAUUCGGAGCAGUUGGUGAUGACUGCAAGAUCUAAGCGUUGAGUUGAACAGCAAAGAGACGCCAUCACAUCACAGAGAAAGAGAGGAGGCGGCUUUUUGUGUCUGAAUCAGCAGAGAUUGCAGAUGAGGCGCCGCUAUUGUUUCUCCAAGUGAAAUGGAGAUGCU
ensembl:processed_transcript